AAAUAAUACAACAUAAUGAAGAUAAGUCGGCCUUUGAAUGGUCUUAAGCAACUAGUAACGAUACCUAUUAAUAGUGCACUCGAUAUAUAUUGUAUUACUUUUUACAUUUCUAAAUUUCUGCAAAUUUUUUACGUUGUUUAACGGUACAAUACCAUCGUAUAUCAUAUACUAUUGAUCCUUAAAUACCAUAAUUCGAAAGGUAAGCUAAGAAACAUUGUUUUUCUUGUUCUGUAGCGGAUGAGGCAUAGAUACUCGCAAGUAUUUAUUGAUUGAAUGACUUUGUU